UGCAGUCGAACGGUGAACACGGAGCUUGCUCUGUGGGAUCAGUGGCGAACGGGUGAGUAACACGUGAGCAACCUGCCCCUGACUCUGGGAUAAGCGCUGGAAACGGCGUCUAAUACUGGAUAUGUGACGUGACCGCAUGGUCUGCGUCUGGAAAGAAUUUCGGUUGGGGAUGGGCUCGCGGCCUAUCAGCUUGUUGGUGAGGUAAUGGCUCACCAAGGCGUCGACGGGUAGCCGGCCUGAGAGGGUGACCGGCCACACUGGGACUGAGACACGGCCCAGACUCCUACGGGAGGCAGCAGUGGGGAAUAUUGCACAAUGGGCGCAAGCCUGAUGCAGCAACGCCGCGUGAGGGACGACGGCCUUCGGGUUGUAAACCUCUUUUAGCAGGGAAGAAGCGAAAGUGACGGUACCUGCAGAAAAAGCGCCGGCUAACUACGUGCCAGCAGCCGCGGUAAUACGUAGGGCGCAAGCGUUAUCCGGAAUUAUUGGGCGUAAAGAGCUCGUAGGCGGUUUGUCGCGUCUGCUGUGAAAUCCGGAGGCUCAACCUCCGGCCUGCAGUGGGUACGGGCAGACUAGAGUGCGGUAGGGGAGAUUGGAAUUCCUGGUGUAGCGGUGGAAUGCGCAGAUAUCAGGAGGAACACCGAUGGCGAAGGCAGAUCUCUGGGCCGUAACUGACGCUGAGGAGCGAAAGGGUGGGGAGCAAACAGGCUUAGAUACCCUGGUAGUCCACCCCGUAAACGUUGGGAACUAGUUGUGGGGUCCAUUCCACGGAUUCCGUGACGCAGCUAACGCAUUAAGUUCCCCGCCUGGGGAGUACGGCCGCAAGGCUAAAACUCAAAGGAAUUGACGGGGACCCGCACAAGCGGCGGAGCAUGCGGAUUAAUUCGAUGCAACGCGAAGAACC
rnacentral:rRNA from 1 species